GAAAUUGAUGUUGAGAAGUCUCUGAAGGGUGUUGUGCUUGCAAGGGUAUCCCAGAGCACCCAAAGGACCGCAGGCAGGGAGCUGGCUGCUGCCCCAACACCAGCAGUUCAGAGCAUCUGUGCACCUCCGUAACCAAAAUCUAUGCUUCAUAUCCUAAGCAAGAUAAUGUAUCCCACAUUGGUCGAAAGUAAGGGGAGACCUCAUUGUCCCAGCAGUGCCAGGAUGCAGGAGAUAAUGGAGAACAGAAACAUGCAUCUUCCUGGAACAAGCCUCACCAGACAAUUUCUCCUCAGUUUGCCCUUGUUGUACCCUCCUGCGGUACAUACAGCCUCAAACAUGAGGCAACAGAGCAUGUGGGAAGACAACAUGAAAGCCACUGCUUGUUCUGGACUCUUACUCAGGUUCUGUCAUCUCAGGAGUGGGAUGGAUACCCUGGUGCCAAAAUCACCACAUUGCCACAGAACGGGAUUUGCCCAGUCUUGGGAUUUUCUGUAGCAGUCUUGUUAGAAACCAUCAGAGGAAGGACAGCUGGUUACAGGAAUGGAU